UCGGGAAUUUUGGGCAAUGGGGGAAACCCUGACCCAGCAACGCCGCGUGAAGGAUGAAGUAUUUCGGUAUGUAAACUUCGAAAGAAUAGGAAGAAUAAAUGACGGUACUAUUUAUAAGGUCCGGCUAACUACGUGCCAGCAGCCGCGGUAAGACGUAGGGGGCGAGCGUUGUCCGGAUUUAUUGGGCGUAAAGAGCUCGUAGGCGGUUGCGUAAGUCGGAUGUGAAAACUCAGGGCUCAACCCUGAGACGCCAUCCGAUACUGCGCUGACUUGAAUCCAGUAGGGGAGUGUGGAAUUCCUGGUGUAGCGGUGAAAUGCGCAGAUAUCAGGAGGAACACCCAUGGCGAAGGCAGCACUCUGGGCUGGUAUUGACGCUGAGGAGCGAAAGCCAGGGGAGCAAACGGGAUUAGAUACCCAAGUAGUCCCUGAGCGGGCUGGCAAGGCGCAU
rnacentral:rRNA from 1 species